rnacentral:tRNA from 1 species
AGGCGUGUUGAUCGAAUAAAAGCUGCUACUUAUUAUUCAAGUGGUUUAACUCCAUUUACACCUUA